rnacentral:rRNA from 1 species
GACGAACGCUGGCGGCGUGCUUAACACAUGCAAGUCGAACGGAAAGGCCCUGCUUUUGUGGGGUGCUCGAGUGGCGAACGGGUGAGUAACACGUGAGUAACCUGCCCUUGACUUUGGGAUAACUUCAGGAAACUGGGGCUAAUACCGGAUAGGAGCUCCUGCUGCAUGGUGGGGGUUGGAAAGUUUCGGCGGUUGGGGAUGGACUCGCGGCUUAUCAGCUUGUUGGUGGGGUAGUGGCUUACCAAGGCUUUGACGGGUAGCCGGCCUGAGAGGGUGACCGGGCACAUUGGGACUGAGAUACGGCCCAGACUGCUACGGGAGGCAGCAGUGGGGAAUAUUGCACAAUGGGCGGAAGCCUGAUGCAGCGACGCCGCGUGCGGGAUGACGGCCUUCGGGUUGUAAACCGCUUUCGCCUGUGACGAAGCGUGGGUGACGGUAAUGGGUAAAGAAGCACCGGCUAACUACGUG